AUUGAACGCUGGCAGCAGGCUUAACACAUGCAAGUCGAGCGGGGUGAUGGUGCUUGCACUAUCACUUAGCGGCGGACGGGUGAGUAAUGCUUAGGAAUCUGCCUAUUAGUGGGGGACAACAUCUCGAAAGGGAUGCUAAUACCGCAUACGUCCUACGGGAGAAAGCAGGGGAUCACUUGUGACCUUGCGCUAAUAGAUGAGCCUAAGUCGGAUUAGCUAGUUGGUGGGGUAAAGGCCUACCAAGGCGACGAUCUGUAGCGGGUCUGAGAGGAUGAUCCGCCACACUGGGACUGAGACACGGGCCAGACUCCUACGGGAGGCAGCAGUGGGGAAUAUUGGACAAUGGGGGGAACCCUGAUCCAGCCAUGCCGCGUGUGUGAAGAAGGCCUUAUGGUUGUAAAGCACUUUAAGCGAGGAGGAGGCUCUUUUGGUUAAUACCCAAGAUGAGUGGACGUUACUCGCAGAAUAAGCACCGGCUAACUCUGUGCCAGCAGCCGCCGUAA
rnacentral:rRNA from 1 species